GAGUCGGAGUGGGACGAGCGGGAGGUUCCGAAGUUCCUGGCGUGGGUAGUUCAGCUCCUUGCUCGUUAUUACCAGAGCGAGAAGUUUCUUGUCGGGGGAGCUUCCAGGAUCCCGAGCAGAUGGAACGUCGCCCGCUCUCCUGCUGACCGUGCCAGAUACGGUUGUAAAAAAGGGACCGUACACAGACUGCCAUCUAAGUAGUAGUAAUCUGAGGAAGAGGCAAAUCUGCUGAAUACAAGUGACACCAGUUACUGAAGAAAUCCAUAAUGUCUGAUUCUGUUCCAAGAUCAGGUGAAAUGGUAAAAUCUACAAGUCAUUCCGAAUGGUCUUUUGGCAUACUCCCUGCUGUCUGGUUCUGAGCACUCCAGGCCUCGAGAGACUGGACAGACAAGCACAGCUGAAUUAAACUUCGUUGGGUCAACGGCUGGUAUUUUAUUCCUGGGAUCGCUUAUCCCUCCUGCCCUCUUCCUCUGCCCCAGGCUGAAAAGCAUCCCAUUGUCCAAAAGUAGCAGGUCUGAGAUAUUAUAUAAACUCUCACUGUGGAGAAAUAGUUCAGGAUAUUUUUCUGAUAAGCUUGUGAUUCAUGUCAUUAUCACAACUUAAGCCCCUUAUUUUCGGUAUCUCAUAGUACGCAUCUUGUCACCGUACUUCUCGUUAGAAAUAUAUGGAGAUUUUGAAAGAUUCAUUGAGGCUGUAGUGUUCUUCGAGGGUCUUCUAAGAAGGACGUGAUCAAUUAAGCACUUUUGUAGAAUAAAAAAAGGAAAAAGACUUUGGACAAACAUGGAAGAAGGAGAAUAUUGAUUACACUCACAUUUCCCUUUCUUGAACUUCUUAAGGUGCUGCAAAAAUCUAAAAUAAUGAACUUACUGGUAGAUUUCCAAUAGCAAAUUUGAUCUGAAAUUACUUACCACUAAUAUAAUACCCAAAACCAAAAUGAAAUUUUGUUCCUUCAAAGUAACUGCCUUUGAUGAAAUAAUAAGAAACUGGGAUGAGGCGGUGGGGGGGGGCAGUGAUGCAAGAUGAACCCCCAAAAUGGGUACACAUUCUAAAUUCCACUUAUCUUCGUACGUCUGACAGUUACAGUAGCCCAGAUCUAACUGGCUUUUCUGGUCACCUUGAUUUUGGAUUUAGUGCCUGUACAACUUUAUUCUUCGUCCUCUUUAAAAAAAAAAAAAAAAGAUUUUAUUAGAGCGAGCAAGUGCGUGCACAACCGGGGGGACGGGAGAGGGAGAAAGGGAGCCCAGUGCAGGGCUGAAUCCCAGAAUCAUGAGCUGAGCCAAAGGCAGUCACUUAACAACUAAGCCACCCAGAUGCCCCUGUUUUUCAUUCUUUGACAUCAGGUUCUUAAAAGGAACGAAAGCCAGACUACCUUCAUAAGAAGACUGCUUAUACAAGCCUUGAGUUGGUGACUAAGGAUGCCAGCUGUCCUUCCUGAUCACCAGAUAAGGGCAGUGUGAUAAAUUAUCCAAAAUUUAAAGCUGCUUUCUAGUUCAUACCAGGUGACAAGCUGCAGUAACAAUCUUCAGAGCAGAAUCAUUACCAAAAUGAUUUGUAAUUUGAGGUAAGAAUCACCUGAAAAGAAAACGACUAGCGUGGAGACACUACACUUGCAUUUCCACUCCUGUGGCUACAGGAUUGAGAGGUCAGAGAAACGAGCCAGACAUUUUGUGCAGCUAAGUUUAUUCUCACAACAUAGUACAUUAAAAUGUGUAAAAGUGGUCGACAGCAAACGGGGCAGAAAGCAAAAGCAAACGUUCUUUCGGGAUAAACAAGCCGCUUUGUAUGGCAGGGAGUGCUCUCACGG